UACAGAGGUGGCAAGCGUUGUUCGGAAUUACUGGGCGUAAAGCGCGCGUAGGCGGAUCGCUAAGUCAGGGGUGAAAUCCCAGGGCUCAACCCUGGAACUGCCUUUGAUACUGACGAUCUGGAGAUCGGGAGAGGUUGGUGGAAUUCCGAGUGUAGAGGUGAAAUUCGUAGAUAUUCGGAGGAACACCAGAAGCGAAGGCGGCCAACUGGCCCGAUACUGACGCUGAGGCGCGAAAGCGUGGGGAGCAAACAGG
rnacentral:rRNA from 1 species